rfam:Oryza meridionalis cultivar OR44 (W2112) chromosome 2, whole genome shotgun sequence.
AAUAAGUGCAGCUAUGAGUUUCAGCGGCCAACUUUGAUCGUCCGUCUUAUUUAAAUUUUUUUUAUAAUUAGCAAUUUUGUUGUUAUAAGAUGAUAAAACAUAAAUACUACUUUACUCGUGAAUUAUGUUUUUAUUUUUUUAUAAAAAAUUCAAAUACGACGAAUAGUCAAAGUUGGACGAGAAAAAUCAUAGCUACACUUAUU